rnacentral:rRNA from 1 species
ACUCAAAGGAAUUGACGGGGGCUUGCACAAGCGGUGGAGCGUGUGGCUUAAUUCGUCGCUAAACGAAGAACCUUACCGAGGCUAGAAAUCCUACUGCACGCCUAGCGAAAGCUAGGAAGCCUUCGAGGGUGUAGGACAGGUGAUGCAUGGCUGUCGUCAGUUCGUGGUUUGAACCGUUCCCUUCAGUGGGGUAACGAACGCAACCCUCGUUGCCUGUUACAAGUGUCAGGCGAGACUGCCCCCUCACGGGGGAGGAAGGUGAGGAUGACGCCAAGUCAGCAUGUCCCUCUGAUGCCUCGGGCUGCACACGCGCUACAAUCGCCGUUACAAAGGGGCGCGACGUCGUAAGACUGAGCAAAUCCUAAAAAAAGCGGCGCCAGUUCGGAUUGAGGUCUGCAACUCGACCUCAUGAAGCCGGAAUCGCUAGUAAUCGUGGGUCAGCUAUACCACGGUGAAUACGUUCUCAAGCCUUGUACACACCGCCCGU